CCUACGGGCGGCAGCAGUGAGGAAUAUUGGUCAAUGGCCGGAAGGCUGAACCAGCCAAGCCGCGUGAAGGACGAAGGUGCCACGCAUUGUAAACUUCUUUUGUCAAGGGACAAAAUCAGGCUCGAGAGCCUGACCGCGGGUACUUUAAGAAAAAGCAUCGGCUAACUCCGUGCCAGCAGCCGCGGUAAUACGGAGGAUGUGAGCGUUAUCCGGAUUUAUUGGGUUUAAAGGGUGCGUAGGCGGACUGUUAAGUCAGCGGUAAAAGCCCGGGGCUCAACCCCGGCGAGCCGUUGAAACUGGCGGUCGUGAGAUGGCGAGAGGUAGGCGGAAUGCGCAGUGUAGCGGUGAAAUGCUUAGAUAUUGCGCAGAACUCCGAUUGCGAAGGCAGCAUACCGGAGGCGAUCUGACGCUGAGGCACGAAAGCGUGGGUAUCGAACAGGAUUAGAUACCCCUGUAGUC
rnacentral:rRNA from 1 species